rnacentral:rRNA from 1 species
GCUGGUUCUCCGCGAAAUCUAUUUAGGUAGAGCGUCGAUCGAAUACUCUUGGGGGUAGAGCACUGACUGGGCUAGGGGUCCUCACCGGAUUACCAAACCUUAUCAAACUCCGAAUACCAAGAAGUACUAAUCGGCAGACACACGGCGGGUGCUAACGUCCGUCGUGGAGAGGGAAACAACCCUGACCACCAAUUAAGGUCCCCAAAUAAUGGCUAAGUGUGAAAGGAUGUGGGAUUGCUUUGACAAUGAGGAGGUUGGCUUAGAAGCAGCCACCCUUUAAAGAAAGCGUAAUAGCUCACUAGUCGAGUCGGCCUGCGCGGAAGAUGUAACGGGGCUAAGCAAUAUACCGAAGCUGCGGCAGCAUAGUUUACUAUGCUGGGUAGGGGAGCGUUGUGUAAGUGGAUGAAGGUGAGUUGUAAAGCUUGCUGGACAUAUCACAAGUGCGAAUGCUGACAUGAGUAACGAUAAUGGGAGUGAAAAACUCCCACGCCGGAAGACCAAGGUUUCCUGUCCCAUGCUAAUCAGGGCAGGGUAAGUCGGCCCCUAAGGCGAGGCAGAAAUGCGUAGUCGAUGGGAAACGGAUUAAUAUUUCCGUACUUAUAUAAUCAGUGAUGGAGGGACGGAGAAGGCUAGGCAAGCUUGGCGUUGGUUGUCCAAGUGAAAGCGAGUAGGCCGAGAAUUUAGGUAAAUCCGGAUUCUUAAAGCUGAGACGCGAGACGAGCUCCCAAGGGAGUGAAGUUGUUGAUGCCCUGCUUCCAGGAAAAGCUUCUAAACUUAUGAUUAUAUGAACCGUACCCCAAACCGACACAGGUGGUCAGGUAGAGAAUACUAAGGCGCUUGAGAGAACUCGGGUGAAGGAACUCGGCAAAAUUGUACCGUAACUUCGGGAGAAGGUACGCCCCUGUUUGUGAACACUUCGCGUGGUAAGCAAAUGGGGGCCGCAGUGACCAGGUGGCUGGGACUGUUUAUUAAAAACACAGCACUCUGCAAA